rnacentral:rRNA from 1 species
CCAGACUCCUACGGGAGGCAGCAGUCGGGAAUAUUGCGCAAUGGAGGAAACUCUGACGCAGUGACGCCGCGUGCAGGAAGAAGGUUUUCGGAUUGUAAACUGCUUUCGACAGGGAAGAAACAAGACAGUACCUGUAGAAUAAGCUCCGGCUAACUACGUGCCAGCAGCCGCGGUAAUACGUAGGGAGCAAGCGUUAUCCGGAUUUAUUGGGUGUAAAGGGUGCGUAGACGGAGAAGCAAGUUAGUUGUGAAAUCCCGCGGCUUAACUGAGGAACUGCAACUAAAACUACUUCCCUUGAGUGCUGGAGAGGAAAGUGGAAUUCCUAGUGUAGCGGUGAAAUGCGUAGAUAUUAGGAGGAACACCAGUGGCGAAGGCGACUUUCUGGACAGUAACUGACGUUGGGGCACGAAAGUGUGGGGAGCAAACAGGAUUAGAUACCCCCGUA